rnacentral:rRNA from 1 species
GACGAACGCUGGCGGCGUGCUUAACACAUGCAAGUCGAGCGGAAAGGCCCUUCGGGGUACUCGAGCGGCGAACGGGUGAGUAACACGUGAGCAACCUGCCCUUAGCUUUGGGAUAACCCUCGGAAACGGGGGCUAAUACCGAAUAUUCAUCACCGGGCGCAUGUUUGGUGGUGAAAAGUUUUUUCGGACUGGGAUGGGCUCGCGGCCUAUCAGCUUGUUGGUGGGGUGAUGGCCUACCAAGGCUUUGACGGGUAGCCGGCCUGAGAGGGCGACCGGCCACACUGGGACUGCGACACGGCCCAGACUCCUACGGGAGGCAGCAGUGGGGAAUAUUGCACAAUGGACGCAAGUCUGAUGCGGCGACGCCGCGUGAGGGAUGACGGCCUUCGGGUUGUAAACCUCUUUCGCCAAGGACGAAGCGAAAGUGACGGUACUUGGAGAAGAAGCGCCGGCCAACUACGUGCCAGCAGCCGCGGUAACACGUAGGGGGCGAGCGUUGUCCGGAUUUAUUGGGCGUAAAGAGCUCGUAGGCGGUUCGAUAAGUCGGGUGUGAAAACUCUGGGCUCAACUCAGAGACGCCACCCGAUACUGUUGUGACUUGAGUCCGGUAGGGGAGUAUGGAAUUCCCAGUGUAGCGGUGAAAUGCGCAGAUAUUGGGAGGAACACCAGUGGCGAAGGCGGUACUCUGGGCCGGAACUGACGCUGAGGAGCGAAAGCGUGGGUAGCGAACAGGAUUAGAUACCCUGGUAGUCCAC